UCAAGUGACUAAGUGCAUGCGGCGGAUGCCUUGGCGAUCACAGGCGAAGAAAGACGCGGCAGCCUGCGAAAAGCUGCGGGGAGCUGGCAAACGAGCUUUGAUCCGCAGAUAUCUGAAUGGGGGAACCCACACCGCAAGGUGUAUCCGUAACUGAAUACAUAGGUUACGGAGGCGAACGAGGAGAACUGAAACAUCUAAGUAUCCUCAGGAAAAGAAAUCAACCGAGAUUCCGGCAGUAGCGGCGAGCGAACCCGGAGGAGCCCAGCUUUUGAUAGUACGAACUUUAGCCGAAAGGUCCUGGAAAGGCCUGCUAUAGUGGGUGAUAGCCCCGUAGGCGAAAGAGUUGGUACGGUACUAAGGAAGCGAGAAGUAGAGCGGGACACGUGGAAUCCUGUUCGAAGACGGGGGGACCAUCCUCCAAGGCUAAAUACUCGUGAUCGACCGAUAGUGAACCAGUACCGUGAGGGAAAGGCGAAAAGAACCCCGGGAGGGGAGUGAAAUAGAACCUGAAACCGCAUGCAUACAAACAGUAGGAGCCUCGUCAGAGGUGACUGCGUACCUUUUGCAUAAUGGGUCAGCGACUUACAUUCUGUGGCGAGCUUAACCGAAUAGGGGAGGCGCAGCGAAAGCGAGUUCGAAAUGAGCGUUCAGUCGCAGGGUGUAGACCCGAAACCAGAUGAGCUAUCCAUGGCCAGGUUGAAGGUGUGGUAACACACACUGGAGGACCGAACCGACUAGUGUUGCAAAAUUAGCGGAUGAGCUGUGGAUAGGGGUGAAAGGCCAAACAAAUCUGGAGAUAGCUGGUUCUCCCCGAAAACUAUUGAGGUAGUGCCUCGUGUGUCGCUCCAGGGGGUAGAGCACUGUUUUGACUAGGGGGACAUGGAGUCUUACCAAACCAAGGCAAACUCCGAAUACCUGGAAGCGUGAGCACGGGAGACAGAGCACCGGGUGCUAACGUCCGGACUCAAAAGGGAAACAACCCAGACCGCCGGCUAAGGUCCCAAAUAACAGCUAAGUGGAAAACGAAGUGGAAAGGCCGUGACAACCAGGAAGUUGGCUUAGAAGCAGCCAUCCUUCAAAGAAAGCGUAAUAGCUCACUGGUCGAGUCCUUCUGCGCGGAAGAUGUAACGGGGCUAAGCUGUUAACCGAAGCCGCGGAUGCGCUGGUUAUCCAGUGCGUGGUAGGGGAGCGUUCUGUAAGUCUGCGAAGGCGGUUCGAGAGGACUGCUGGAGAUAUCAGAAGUGCGAAUGCUGACAUGAGUAACGUUAAAGCAGGUGAAAAGCCUGCUCGCCGUAAGCCCAAGGAUUCCUGCUCUACGUUCAUCGGAGCAGGGUGAGUCGGCUCCUAAGGUCAGGCCGAAAGGCGUAGCCGAUGGGAAUCAGGUUAAUAUUCCUGAACCUGCGUCAGAUGCGAUGGGGGGACGGAGCAUGGAAGAUCAUCCGGGUGUUGGAAGUCCCGGUUGUUUAGCGUAGGAGGUCUGCAGGCAAAUCCGCAGACGCAUCUCCAAGGCAAAGACACGUGCCGCCACGGCGGCGAAGUGAUCGGAAGUGCUUCCAAGAAAAGCCUCUAAGCUUCAGUCUGAUGCGGACCGUACCGCAAACCGACACUGGUGGGCGAGCUGAAUAUGCUCAGGCGCUUGAGAGAACUCGGGAGAAGGAACUCGGCAAAUUGACACCGUAACUUCGGAAGAAGGUGUGCCGUAGUACCGUGAGAGGAGAGACACCUUGAGCGGGAAACGGUCUCAGAGAAUAGGUGGCUGCGACUGUUUAUUAAAAACACAGCACUCUGCAAAGUCGAAAGACGACGUAUAGGGUGUGAUGCCUGCCCGGUGCUGGAAGAUUAAUUGAUGGGGUGAGAGCCCUUGAUCGAAGUCCCAGUAAACGGCGGCCGUAACUAUAACGGUCCUAAGGUAGCGAAAUUCCUUGUCGGGUAAGUUCCGACCUGCACGAAUGGCAUAACGAUGGCCACACUGUCUCCUCCCGAGACUCAGUGAAGUUGAAAUGUUUGUGAUGAUGCAAUCUACCCGCGGCUAGACGGAAAGACCCCAUGAACCUUUACUGCAGCUUUGCAUUGAACUGUGAACCGAUUUGUGUAGGAUAGGUGGGAGGCAGAGAAGAGGCCACGCCAGUGGUCUUGGAGCCGACCUUGAAAUACCACCCUGAUUUGUUUGCGGUUCUAACCACGGACAGUGAUCCUGUCUUGGGACCGUGCAUGGUAGGCAGUUUGACUGGGGCGGUCUCCUCCUAAAGGGUAACGGAGGAGUACGAAGGUACGCUAGGUACGGUCGGAAAUCGUGCUGAUAGUGCAAUGGCAAAAGCGUGCUUGACUGCGAGAGCAACAACUCGAGCAGAUGCGAAAGCAGGUCAUAGUGAUCCGGUGGCUCUGAAUGGAAGGGCCAUCGCUCAACGGAUAAAAGGUACUCUGGGGAUAACAGGCUGAUACCGCCCAAGAGUUCAUAUCGACGGCGGUGUUUGGCACCUCGAUGUCGGCUCAUCUCAUCCUGGGGCUGUAGUCGGUCCCAAGGGUAUGGCUGUUCGCCAUUUAAAGAGGUACGUGAGCUGGGUUUAAAACGUCGUGAGACAGUUUGGUCCCUAUCUGCCGUGGGCGUUGGAAGAUUGACGGGGGCUGCUCCUAGUACGAGAGGACCGGAGUGGACGCACCUCUGGUGUACCGGUUGUCACGCCAGUGGCAUUGCCGGGUAGCUAAGUGCGGAAGAGAUAACCGCUGAAAGCAUCUAAGCGGGAAACUUGCCUGAAGAUGAGUCUUCCCGGAGGUUGAACCUCCCUCAAGAGUCGUCCGAGACCAGGACGUCGAUAGGUCAGGUGUGUAAGCGCUGUAAGGCGUUGAGCUAACUGAUACUAAUUGCUCGUGAGGCUUGAUCCU
rnacentral:rRNA from 1 species